GAUGAACGCUGGCGGCGUGCCUAAUACAUGCAAGUAGAACGCUGAAGGAAGGAGCUUGCUCUUUCCGGAUGAGUUGCGAACGGGUGAGUAACGCGUAGGUAACCUGCCUGGUAGCGGGGGAUAACUAUUGGAAACGAUAGCUAAUACCGCAUAACAGUAGAUGUUGCAUGAUAUCUACUUAAAAGGUGCAAUUGCACCACUACCAGAUGGACCUGCGUUGUAUUAGCUAGUUGGUGGGGUAACGGCUCACCAAGGCGACGAUACAUAGCCGACCUGAGAGGGUGAUCGGCCACACUGGGACUGAGACACGGCCCAGACUCCUACGGGAGGCAGCAGUAGGGAAUCUUCGGCAAUGGACGGAAGUCUGACCGGGCAACGCCGCGUGAGUGAAGAAGGUUUUCGGAUCGUAAAGCUCUGUUGUAAGAGAAGAACGAGUGUGAGAGUGGAAAGUUCACACUGUGACGGUAUCUUACCAGAAAGGGACGGCUAACUACGUG
rnacentral:rRNA from 1 species